CAGCUGAAUGCCUGAGGCAUCUGCAGCUGAACAGUGGAAGAGAUUUCAACAAGAGAAGUCUGUAACCAUGCCAGCCAGCAGUCAAUCUCUUUCCCUCCUGCCCUUCUCUCUGUGAGGUGUAUUUAUAGGCAAUCAGGAGCAUGAAAGAAUGUGGGUUUCCUCAGAAGUUCUGGCCAUUCAGUAACAUCCAUUAGGUGCUUUCAUUGCUCUGCAGAGGACAGGCACAAAAUUCCUGAUCUGAAGCACCUGAUUCAGAAAGAAGCUUACCCAGAAUAUGUUCACUUUCCACAGCAUCCUAGGGAGAAGUUGGAGGAUACACAAAAUAUCCCCACCAAGGAAAGGAACACAGAGCUAUAAUUGUGAAGAAAUAAUUUGUGCUCGUGUGUGUAGCAUGCACACACAAAUAUAUGUGCAAUUCUGUCUUCUACUACAUGAAAAACCAAGAAAUGAAACCAAUAAAGAAAUAAAUUUUUUAUUUUCAGAGAGGGUCUCAAAAGGUAGACCUCGGACUGGAAAUUCUCUUGUGUUAGUUUCCAAAGAAGUGGGGAUUACAGGUGUGUGCCUAGCCCAAAUAUUUUAAAAAUAUCUCCACCCCAGUGGUGGGGAUCUAACCUAGGGCCCCUCACAUACUAGGCAAGAACUCUACGACCGAGAUAUACCCUGAUCCCUAAAACAACUUUUUAAAAAUUAUUUUUAGUUGUAGAUGGACACAAUACCUUUAUUUCAUGUUAUUUAUUUUUAUGUGGUGCAUCACACAUGCUGGGCAAGCACUAUACUACUGAGCUACAACCCCAGCCCCUAAAAUAACUUUUAACAGGUUUUGAGUUUAUUAUUUUGGCCAUUUACAUAUUGUCUAGUACUUGUGCACAAAAAAUAAAAAUAUUUUUAAAUGGA